GCUGGCGGCGUGCUUAACACAUGCAAGUCGAGUGCGCAGUCUUCUGUAGCAAUACAGGAGAUCGGCGCACGGCGCACGGGUGCGUAACACGUGGGUAACCUGCCCUCCAAAGGGGGAUAACCCCGCGAAAGCGGGGCUAAUACCGCAUGACAUUCCGGUGACCUCGGUCGCUGGAAUCAAAGCCCGCAAGGGCGUUGGGGGAGGGGCCCGCGGCCGAUUAGCUUGUUGGCGAGGUAACGGCUCACCAAGGCUUUGAUCGGUAGCCGGUCUGAGAGGAUGGCCGGCCACACUGGAACUGAGACACGGUCCAGACUCCUACGGGAGGCAGCAGUGGGGAAUCUUGCGCAAUGGGCGAAAGCCUGACGCAGCGACGCCGCGUGGGGGAUGAAGCUUUUCGGAGUGUAAACCCCUUUCGACCCGGACGAAACGCCCGCAAGGGCUUGACGGUACGGGUAUAAGAAGCCCCGGCUAACUACGUGCCAGCAGCCGCGGUAAGACGUAGGGGGCCAGCGUUGCUCGGAAUUACUGGGCGUAAAGGGUUCGUAGGCGGUGCGGUAAGUCGGAAGUGAAAUCUCUGGGCUUAACUCAGAGGCUGCUUUCGAAACUGCCGUGCUGGAGUGCGGGAGA
rnacentral:rRNA from 1 species